UUAUUUAUCAAACAUCUACCAAAGAUUGUUUUGAAGAUGGUGCACAAGAUUGGAAUGAAAAUUCUCAAGGAUAUAAAUUGAUGUUCUUAUCAGGGGGAGUUAAUACGCGUUGCACUCUUUUUCUCUUACAAGGUUUUAUCCCAACUGGGUUUUCCUCGCGAGGUUUUUAACGAGGCAACCAAUAGGCGCAUAUUCAAACAUGUGUACUCUUUUUCCUUCUCUUUAAUUUUUCCCAUUGGGUUUU
rnacentral:lncRNA from 1 species